CCUUCUGGGGUAGGGGUGGGGGUGGGGGUGGGGCUGUUCUCUCCAUGGAGCAUUCUAACCCUGAGGAGGUUGGGAGGUUCAGAGGCUGAGCACUGUAGAAGCUUCUAGAAUCUAUCUCACAUUCCACAAGGCUGUGAUCGUUUUUUGAAGGCCCUCUCCUCUACAAGGGCAGGCUCUGCAUUUACAGCCCCACAGUAAUUCACGCAUCCCCAAGUGACUGCGGGCAGCACCGACCACCCAAAGGAAAGGCCAAGGAUGGACUUCACAGAGGAAGGCAGGGACACAGAUGCUGCAGGCUUGGCCUGUUGUGACACUCAGGCCCUGGAGGCUCACCUGUUGGAUACACUGUCAUUUGACUGGGAGGGGGUUCAGCAGCCAGCCCGACCACGAUGCGGGGAGGAGCCACAUCUGUAACACACCAGCCACCCAGGAUGCCUUCACAAAAUCCCCCCAAUGGGAUAGGCUGUUGGCCUAACAGCUUGCUGCAAAAGACGAGCCCAAACUCUGCAACUCAGUUCUGGAACCAGCAUGGGCAUCGGAGAGAAUCAAGGUGCAGUCAGCCAGGGUACAAAACUUCUGCCUCGGGACAAUACCCAUAUCCCAUGCCUCUGCCCAGCCUCCAAGUUCAGAUCUCUGACUCCUUCCCCUUUACCAGAUGGCCUAGCAGAUGCAAGGGUAGGAUGUCUAAAAUUUGCUCUCCAACAAUUCAGAAAAAAUUAGCAUGUCUCUCUCUAUAUAUACACACUCUCAGAGCGCAAUGCAGUAAACAUGGAUUCACAUUCACUGAAGGGGAUGAGGUCAUUUACUCUGUUUCUUGUGACUUCUGAUGUGCCCCGCCCCCACUCCCCAGAGCUGAGGAUGUUCUAUCCACUAAGCAGUCUUGCUGCUGGCAGCCAUUUGAACCUCCCAAGGCAGAAGUCCAUAGGCUAGAUUGGCUUGGUUACAGUCUUUCUGGUCCCAUGGUAUGGGUGGUGGUGGUGGGUGGUGGUGGUUGUUGUUGAGUGGUGGUGGUGUUAGUGGUGUUGGUGGU